ACUCCUACGGGAGGCAGCAGUGGGGAAUAUUGCACAAUGGGCGCAAGCCUGAUGCAGCCAUGCCGCGUGUGUGAAGAAGGCCUUCGGGUUGUAAAGCACUUUCAGUCGUGAGGAAGGCGGAGUCGUUAAUAGCGGCCUCGUUUGACGUUAGCGACAGAAGAAGCACCGGCUAACUCCAUGCCAGCAGCCGCGGUAAGUACGGAGGGUGCGAGCGUUAAUCGGAAUUACUGGGCGUAAAGCGCAUGCAGGUGGUUGUUAAGUCAGAUGUGAAAGCCCGGGGCUCAACCUCGGAAUAGCAUUUGAAACUGGCAGACUAGAGUACUGUAGAGGGGGUAGAAUUUCAGGUGUAGCGGUGAAAUGCGUAGAGAUCUGAAGGAAUACCGGUGGCGAAGGCGGCCCCUGGACAGAUACUGACACUCAGAUGCGAAAGCGUGGGAGCAAACAGGAUUAGAGUACCCCUGGUAGCGACUGA
rnacentral:rRNA from 1 species